AGUACAAAUUUCCUUCCAAAAAUUAUAGAAUAUGAAACUCGCAUAUGAGAAUAAAGUUGUCAUUCAUGCAGAGGUACGUAUCAAAAGAACCAUGGAGGAUCGGAGGAUAUGGAUAUGUGCUGAGUGGGAUUUAUGGCUAAUUUUUCUAAUUGGAUAAGCACAAUUAGGUAUGAAAGUAUAGUUGCAGUCCUAAAGCUUCAAAUUCCUAGUUAUAUGAAAUGAUGUUAGUGAUGGCUCAGACAACAGGAAUGACAAGCCAUGGAAGAAGAAGUAUUGAAAUCAAUGUGUUGAAAGGCAUUGGCAGUUUUCUAAUUGGUCAGUUGGAAGCAGUAGCAAGAAUUUGGAUGGGCGGAGUGACAAAUAGAAAGUAUGGUAUUACUUUAUCUAAAGAUGCUGAUGAAGGGAUGAAGUAAUUUCUGUAGGUAGAAGAUAUUAUGCAUUUUUCUAGCAUCUCUUUUCUAGUGUAGGUACGGUUUUGACUUGAUUUUUCUCAAUGCAUAUGUAGUUUAUGUUUUUCAAUUUCCAGAA